ACUCUAAAUGGCAGCACUGUCU
rnacentral:miRNA from 8 species